CCGGCUAAUUUUUUGUAUUUUUUAGUAGAGACGGAGUUUCACCAUGUUAGCCAGGAUGAUAUCGAUCUCCUGACCUUGUGAUUCGCCCGCCUCAGCCUCCCAAAGUGCUGGGAUUACAGGCAUGAGCCACCGCACCCAGCCGAUCUUUGUUUCAUUAAGUAAUGUUUCUCUUUGUCUCUAGCAAUUAAAGUCUACUUUAUCUGAUAUUAUUAUGGCCACUCCUACUUUUGCAAAUGCAAAUGUGCUUUGAGUAUCUUUUCCCAUCCUUUUAUUUUCAGCCUACUUACAUGUAUCAUUGUAUUUGCAGUGUAUAGUAUUUGUAGAUAGCAUGUAGUUGGAUCAUGUAUUUUUUAAUUGGUUCUGCCAAUCUGUUUUCAUUACUGAGUUUAGACCAUUUACGCUUAGAGAAGUAAUUACUGGUAUGUUAGAGCUUAAAUCUGCCAUUUUAUUUGUUUUCUGUUAUUUCCCCUGUUUCUCAUUCCUCUAUUUCCCUUUUCUUGCCUUCCUGUGGGCUACUUGAACAUUGUUAGAAGUUUAUCUUGAUUUAUUUAUAAUGUUUUGAAUAUAUCACUUCGUAUAGUUUUCUUAAUAGUUGCUCUAGGAAUUACAAAAUAUAUAUAUAGUUUACCACAACCUACUGGUAUUAAUAUUUUACCACUUUGAAUAAAGUGUAGAAGCCUUAUUUCCAUUUAUGUCCCUUUGCACUUCCCACUUCUAAAAUGUAAUUGUUUUAGAAGAGGGAAAAAAUAGAUACUGAGGCCUACUUGAGGGUGGAGAAUGAGAGGAAGGUUAGGGUCAAAAAACUACCUAUCAUGUACUAUGCUCUCUACCUGGGUAACAAAAUUAUUUGCACACCAAACCCCAUCAAUGCACAAUUUGCACAUGUAACAAACCUACACAUAUGCCCCCAAACCUAAAAUACAAUUUGAAAGGGAAAAAUAAAAUAUAAUUGUCUUAAAUAUUUCCUUUACAUGUAUUCACCACCACAUCAGAUGCUCUUAUACUUUUUGCUUCAACCAUCAAAUAUGAUUUAAGAAACUCAAGAAAAAUAGAAUAGUCUAUUAUAUUUAUCCCUAUUUUUAUCCAUUCUUAUGGGUUUUUUUUCCCUUCUGAAGUUCUAAGCCUACUUCUGUUAUCAUUUCCUUUCUGCGUAGAUAACUUCUUUUAGCCAUUCCUUAAGAUAGGUUUGUUAGCAACACAUUUUUAGUUUUCCUUCAUCUCAGAAUGUCUCUAUUUCUUCUUCAUUGAUGAAAGAUAUUUUCAUUAGGUAUAGAAUUCACAGUUGACAAUUUGUUUCUUAAAAGAAAAUGCUAAAGCACUUAAAAAAUGCUGCACCUCUUCCUUCGGGCCUCCAUCGUUUCAAAUUCACAUUCAAAUUGGUGUUCUCCUGUAAAUAAUGUUUCUUUUAUCUCUGACUGCUUUCAAGAAUUUUUGUCUUUGUCAUUAGUUUUCAGAAGUUUAACUAUAAUGUGUCAUAGAUAGAUAGAUGAUAGAUAGAUAGAUACAUAGAUAGAUAGAUAGAUAGAUAGAUAGAUAGAUAGAUAGAUAGAUAGAUGAUAGAUAACGUGGAGACAGAGCAUGAACUAGGUACAGUCUCAGUCCUUCAUAUAUUUUCAUUCUACUGAGCUUCUUGGCAGCAGACACUAUGUUUUACUCACUGUUUUAUCAGUGUACUCACUGUCAGGAACCAGCAGAGUCUGGCAUAGAGUGGGCACUCAAUAAAUGUUGGCUGACUGAAUGAGAAGGUAGAAACAAAUAAGUAGAAGAAAGAGAGAAAGAGGAAGAGGAGGGCGAGAGAGAUAAUGAGCCCAAGACAGAGAAGAGAAAGACAAGGAGAAAUGUAUUGAGCCCUUGAAGAAACCAAGUGUUCUACAUGGGACUGGGGGUGGUAUGCCUAGGGGAAGGAGGGUCACAGUGUCUAUAAAGGAGAUAGAUGUAAAAGUCAGUCCUAUGGCCCUAAUAAAAACUACACAAUUACUCAUCGAAGUUUGUUGAACAGAAAUCAGUACGAUCACAGCUACCAUGGACAAAGCUUGAUAUAUUUUGGUUUAGUUUAAAUGAGGGGUAUUGGUUUCAAAGAGAUAUUAAAUUUCGACUCUAAGGGGCUGAAGUCUCGUGUGCCUGUGCGUCUGGUGAGGCUUAGCGGUCACCACUCCCCACUCACCCGCUGCCCACCCCACCUCCGAGGGUGACGCCCCUUGAGGACGUCAGCUCUCCAGCCUAGAAGGCAGCAUUGUGAGGGGCGUGGCCUAGAGGACGUUCUACUCUGGCCACCACGAUCUUGGCAGCCCACACCUGAUCAGGACCUAAAGCGUGAAGGGUGUGAAUGAGGAGAAACGAGGACCGCCUGCUACCCCAGCGUCUGGCCCCCUGGGGACUGAAGGCUGGCUCUGGAGCUGUACCUCGGCAACUGCUAUAAGGCUGCCGAAGCCGCCGCCACUAAGGCGGCCGCCAGCAGCCUGAAUGCAGGCAAGAAGCAGUGCCGCACCGUUAUAUGUCCCUUGAAGGAGUUGAGUAAAUACAGGCAGUAUGUGACUAGUUUAAAAUUAGACUUUGAAAGAAACUGUAUAAGAGAACAAGGUUUCACUCCAAUCACCCAGGCUGGAGUGCAGUGGGAUGCUCUCAGUUCACUGCAGCAUCAACUUCCCGAGCUCAGGAAAGCAGAGUGUACUCAAGAUGAAAGAAAAAAAAAGACGAUAUGAAGACUGUUGCGGGAAGUCAGGGACCCCGAACAGAGGGACCAGCUGGAGCCGUGGCAGAGGAACAUGAAUUGUGAACAUUUCAUGGACAUUUAUCAGUUCCCAAAUAAUACUUUUAUAAUUUCUUAUGCCUGUCUUUACUUUAAUCUUUAAUCCUGUUCUCUUCAUAAAUUGAGAAUGUACAUCACCUCAGGACCACUGUGAUAAUUGUGUUAACUGUACAAAUUGAUUGUAAAAUCUGUGUUUGAACAAUAUGAAAUCAGUGCACCUUGAAAAAGAACAGAAUUAGGGAAAAAGGGAAGACAACCAUAAGGUCUGACUGCCUGUGGGGUUGGGCAAAAAGAGCCAUAUUUUUCUUCUUGCAGAGAGCCUAUAAACAGACAUGCAAGUAGGAGAGAUAUCGCUAAAUUCUUUUCCUAGCAAGGAAUAUUAAUAUUAAUACCCUGGGAAAGGAAUGCAUUCCUGGGGGGAGGUCUAUAAACGGCUGCUCUGGGAGGGUCUGUCUUAUGCAGUUGAGAUAAGGACUGAGAUACACCCUGGUCUCCUGCAGUACCCUCAGGCUUAUUAGGGUGGGGAAAAACUCUGCCCUGGUAAAUUUGUGGUCAGACAAGUUCUCUGCUCUCCAUCCCUGUUUUCUGUUGUUUAAGAUGUUUAUCAAGACAAUAUGUGCACCGGUGAACAUAGACCCUUAUCAGUAGUUCCGCUUUUGCCUUUUGCCUUUUGCCUUGUUAUCUUUGUUGGACCCUUAUCAGUAGUUCUCCUUUUUGCCCUUUGAAGCAUGUGAUCUACCCCCUAUUCUUAUACCCGCUCCCCUUUUGAAGCCCUUAAUAAAAGACUUGCUGGUUUGAGGCUCAGGUGGGCAUCACAGUCCUACCAAUAUGUGAUGUCACCCCUGGCAGCCCAGCUGUAAAAUUCCUCUCUUUGUACUCUUUCUCUUUAUUUCUCAGCCGGCCAACACUUAUGGAAAAUAGAAAGAACCUAUGUUGAAAUAUUGGGGGCAGGUUCCCCCAAUACAGGACCACAUAAGAAGAAAUCUUGAUCUCUGUAGACAAAUUGAAGAGGCAAAAAAGUCCUGUUGUGUCUGACAAAAAUUAAGUCGUAAAUAGAGAAGCAAGAGCUGAAGAAUGACACCAGAAAACCUGAGGACAAACUGGCUGGAAGGUAGUAGAGUGGGCUUUUACCAAUGACUUGGGCUGUUUGAGGAAAUGCUUUGGCCAUUUUUGCUAUUUUUAAAUGUGAAUUGUCUGAAAUGGCCUAAACUCAUGAAGAAGGCUACUGAUAGACCCAUUCUGGCCUGAACCUAUACUUCAAGGGCUGGCCUGAAAUGAGACUUGUCUCCAGAAAGUGGCCAGUAAGUGAAAUUGGAUUUAGUUAUUAAAAUAUAUUCUUCUUCAUGCUAGACCACAAAAGGAUAUUUACCCCUAUCUUUCUAGCUUUGUACUCAUUGUGACUUUAGAAAUGUCAAGAUAGGAAUUGAGGGUUCACUUCAAAUAUACCAUCACAUUUGAAAUCUCUAUUUUGCUUUGCCAGUGGCAAGUUGAUACUAAACUUUUAAAAUAUAUUAAAUAUAUAUUUAUGUAUUACUUAUUUUAUUGUAUUUUUUUCUAGAGACGGGCUCUCACUCUGUCACCCAAACUGGAGUACAGUGGCACAAUCAUAGCUCACUGUAGCCUCAACCUCCUGGGCUCAAGUGAUCCUCCCACCUCGGCUUCCCAAGUAGCUGGGACUACAAGUGCACACCACCAUACCUAGAUAUUUUUUUGUUGUUGUUUUUGGUAGAGAUGGUUUCUCAUUAUGUUGCCCAGGCUAGUCUUGAACUCCUGGGCUUGAGUGAUCCUCCUGCCUAGGCCUCCCAAAGUCGUGGAAUAAUAGGCAUGAGCCGCCACAUUCAGCCUAUUUUUAAAAAUAUUUUAGAAACAAGCACUUCUAGAGAAAAACAAUUACCUAUUUUUACAAACAAUGUUUUAAAAAUGACCUGUAAGAUGAAGACCAGAGGAAAGUGCAUUUGAAAACAAACGACAAGAUGAAACAGAAGCCCGACUCCAAGCAUCAGCUGAGUGUCCGCCAACUCGGCCGCAGCCAUCUUCCGCCGCCGCGGCGCGCAGCUCUAAAGAUUCUGCCUUUGUGGAGCCCCCAAAAUGGCUCAGACUUUCAGGAAGCUUCCCCAUCUUACUGCUUCUUUUCCAAAGAUGGCGUCCAUGUGCCUGAGGGCCAGUUCAUCAUUCUCAAAAUGGUACCAAGAUUGCUAUCAAAAAGUGAAGAAGCAAUUACAUCCUUGAUGGAAUGUAUAGAGUAACACGACAGAACAAAAAGAAGAAAUUGUGUUUCAAAUGUUUGUAUUGAUCAUUAGUUUGUCUAGUUAACUUAUUUCUAUAGGAUAUCCCAUUCACUGGCUUGGUGCUGACUAGCUAGAGAUCAUUGUGUUAAGACACAGGUCACACCCCUCUCCCUGGUAAAGAAGGUGCUGAGUAAGCUUCAUGCUAAAUGUACCACGCAAUUUAGCAGAAAGUAACUUAAACAUUUGAUGAUGAUGAUGAUGAUUAUGGUGAUGAUGAUGAUGAUGAUGAAAGUUAACAUUUGUUGAGAACCUACUGUGAGCUAGGUCCUGUACUAAGUGAGAAAGAAGGAAAAAGGAAAAAGUGGGUGACACAGAAUAUACAGAUGGAAAAGACAUAAUCACCUUCUAAGGGUCAGACUUACAUAAACAAAAGUUCUUAUAAUAAAAUGGGAGUUUUGAUUGAUGCAAAAUGUAGUGAAAGUGUAGAAGAUUUAAAGCCUAGUCCUGCCUAGAGAGGUUGAAGAAGGCUUUAUUAAAGGAGGAUUUAAUUAAAUUAGGUCCUGAAAUGUGAGUGGGAAUUUUCCAGGUGAGUAGUUGUGAGGAUAUAGUGAGCCAAUGUUGCAGAUACAAGUGAAAAGCGUACAUUGAAAGCAUGGAGGUGUGAGCCAGCAUAGCCAGAGAAGUGCAGGAGAUGAGACUGAAAAGGUGAGUUGAAGUCAGAGCCUUGUACACCUUGCUGAAGUAUGACUAUAUCCUCUCAGUAGCAGGGAACCAUUGAAGGUUUCUGAGUAGGCAUAUGACAUAAGAAUUAUUUGAAUUUCUAAAAAGAUAAUCCAGUUGCAGUGUUUGAGAUAGAUGGUAGAGAAAAGAGAUUAGAGACAAGAUAGUUUGGAGACAAGAUAGUUUGGAACUAUCCCAGUUUAUCUGAACUGGGAUAGUUCAGAUAAAAAUGAUAAGGGCCCAAACAGGCAGCAGCAUGAGGGUGAAAGGGAAGAUAUAGAUUCAAGAUAUUUUGGAGUUAGACUAUGUCUGGAGUUGGUGACUUAAUAGAUGUGUGGAGUCUGAGAGGGAGAUUGAUGAUGAUUGUAUUAGUCUGAUCUCACACUGCUAAUAAAGACAUACCUGAGACUGGGUAAUUUAUAAAGGAAAGAGGUUUAAUGGACUCACAGUUCCACGUGGCUGCAGAGGUCUGACAAUCAUGGCAGAAGGCAAAGGAGAAACAAAGGCGUGUCUCACAUGGCGGCAGGCAAGAGAGCUUGUGCAGGGGAACUCCCAUUUAUAAAACCAUCAGAUCUCAAGAGACUUAUUCACUACCACAAGAACAGUAUGGGGAAAACUGCCCCAAUGAUUCAAUUAUCUCCACCUUGACACGUGGGGAUUAUUACAAUCCAAGGUGAGAUUUGAGUGGGGACACAGCCAAACCAUAUCAAUGAUGAGGAUGAUGAUGAUGAUGAUUAUUAUUAUUAUUAUUAUUAUAUUAUUCAGUUUUUGUAUAUAGGUUUUUCACAAAGUAGGGUGUCUUUUCUCUGUGCUUCCAUGGUGCUUAGGCUUACCUCUGUCUCAGAACUCAUUCUACUGUAUCAUAUUUGUCUGACUGUUUUACUGGAUGAUAAGCUUCUUGAGGUCAGGAAUUAAAUAUAUUUUUUCAGGUCUAAGCAGUGCACCCAAUAAGCAUUAGAUUGAAUUGGAGUGGCCUUACUGAAAUAAACGGGGCAAAUCUGAACUUUUAGAAUGGAGCACUGGGUGAAUCACCACAUCUUUAACUAAAAUAUGAACUGCAGGAAGGGAAGUGAAUUUGGAAAGAUGUGAGUCCAUGGGUACAUAAUGAGCUAGUUAAGUUUAGGUGUCUGUGAGAGAUGUCCAGCAAGUGGUUGAUAAUAUGUAUUAGCAUUGAGACCAGUGCUUGGGAGAGAGGUAGGGGAUGAGGGGAAGAUAUUAUAUUAAUUUGAUGCCUGUAGAGUAGGCAAAAGUCUCUUUUAGAAGCUUAAUUAUCAGAUACCACAUGCAGGGUGAAAAAAUAAUAAUAGAAGCUUAAUUACUAAUUAAUGCUUUUCUCUGGAAUACUAAGCCAUAUAGAAAGAUAAAGAAAUGACUAAACUGUCAUGUCCUUCAAAUGAAGGAGGUAAGAAAAUAAAUAAUAUUCAUAAUUUUUCUGUAGUUUUUCAAUUAAAUAGUUUUGUCAUACAGCUGGUUAUUUUCCUGAUUAUAAAAUCUGUGCUUAUUUUUAGUAAAGGAAGAUUUUAAAAAUAUUCAUGAUUAUGAAUGUUAUUAUCUUACAUACUGGGGUGUUUUUUAGCUGAAUAGGUCAUUUGGGAUUUGCAAAGUGUGGAGAAGUUAGAGUUCCUGCAAUGGCUGCCCUUACUGAUAGGCAGAGUAAGUUCAUAACAUAGUAUGAUUUGGGAGUCCCAGUGCAGAAAAUUCUCCCCAAAAAGGUCCCUACCUUCUACUGCCAUCCUUCUCCUCAGACAUGAAAAUACAUCCUGCUUCCCAUCUCCGCAAGGCUGAACUAGAGGUUAGCUAAGUCUCUGCUAGUCCCUACAGAAGAUUCCCAUGCAUAUUCUACACAUACCCACGGCCACCAGGCACACUAGGACAUCACCAUCUGGGUAGUCAUUGAGCACUUUAAAUCUAAUAUGCACAAAACAAAAUUCAUCAUCUUCCAGUCACCCCAAAACCUGUUCUUACUUCCUCCUUUUUUAUCCAGGCACAAAACUUGGCUCAUCUUUCGCUUUUUCCCAUUGCUCAUAUUCUACAUCUUAAAGUUGCCACAUUCUGUGUAAUUUACCUUUCCUUUCCAUUCAUGUUAUCCCUGCCCUUAAUGAUUACCAUAAUUUGCCUCCAAUGUCUUCUUAUUCCUUUUUUUCAGUAAAAUGUUUCCUUUUCCUUUUCAUUUUAUUUUUUGUUUUUUAAUUUUUGUGGGUACAUAGUUGGCAUAUAUAUUUAUGGGGUACAUUAGAUGUUGUGAUACAGGCAUGCAAUGUGAAAUAAGCACAUCAUGGACAAUGGGGUAUCCAUCCUCUCAGGCAUUUAUACUUGAGUUACAAACAAUCCAAUUACACUCUAAGUUAUUUUAAAAUGUACAAUUAAGUUAUUAUUGACUAUAAUCACCCAUUUGUGCUGUCAAAUACUAGGCCUAUUUAUUCAUUCUAUUUUUUGUACCCAUUAAACAUCCCCACCUCCGCUCUAGCCACCCCCACUACCCUUCCCAGCCUCUUGUAAAUGGUCACCCAUCCUUCUACUCUCUAUGUCCAUGAGUUAAAUUGUUUUGAUUUUUAUAUCCCACAAAUAUGUGAGAACAUGUGAUGUUUGUCUUUCUGUACCUGGCUUAUUUCACUUAACAUAAUGACCCUCAGUCCCAUCCAUGUUACUGCAAAUGACUGAAUCUCAUUCUUUUUAUGACUGAAUAGUACUCCAUUAUAUGUUCUUUUUCUUCCUUUUAACCUGCUCUACAUUUUGCUGUGAAUGUAACCUUUCCAAAAUACAGUUUGGGGCAUAUAAUCCCUCUACUCAAAAGUCCUCAGUGGUAGCUGUUGGCUACUGAAUAAAGUACAAAAUAUUUCAUUCUCAUUGGGAGGGAGAUAAAGCUAGCAAAGGAAGUUACAGCAAGAAGUUAGGGAGUUCAGACUUGUCCCUGAGGUAAGUGGCAAGCCACUAGAAGUUUGUAGGCAGGGGAAAUUUAAAAACCUCAUCAAGUCAUCUUAUCCUUGGAGCUACUGCCUUAACCGGAAUAAAUGUAUCCUUGACUAUGGUAAUUCCAGACAUUAUGGCAGCCCAGGAAGGAGAACUAUAUCAUUUUCUCAAUUUAAUAGUACCUCUUCUUUUCCCCAGGAAUAAAAAGUGCCUCACUUCAUGCUUCAGUUGUUUCUGCUAAAACAACAAAUGUCCCCAGACAAUCUUUACCAGAUAUUCUGAGACAAGAGGCAAGUAACAUUUCUUUUGUACCAGAUGUAGAUAGAACAAAUGAAGUAUGAAAUUAUGAUCAAGAUU
rnacentral:lncRNA from 10 species